rnacentral:rRNA from 1 species
GACCGUAUACAAGUCUCCUGGGAUGGAGCAUCAUAGAGGGUGAGAAUCCCGUCUUUGAUACAGACUACCAGUGCAUUGUGGUAUGCUCUCAACGAGUCGAGUUGUUUGGGAAUGCAGCUCAAAAUGGGUGGUAAAUUCCAUCUAAAGCUAAAUAUUGGCGAGAGACCGAUAGCGAACAAGUACCGUGAGGGAAAGAUGAAAAGAACUUUGGAAAGAGAGUUAAACAGUACGUGAAAUUGCUGAAAGGGAAACGCUUGAAGUCAGUCACGUCUGCUGGGAAUCAGCCUCGCUUCUGCGUGGUGUACUUUCUGGUAUGACGGGUCAGCAUCAGUUUUGACCACUGGAAAAAGGUGUGGGGAAUGUGACAGCUCCGGCUGUGUUAUAGCCUCAUAUUGUAUACAGUGGUUGGGACUGAGGAACGCAGCACGCCGAAAGGCCGGGUCUUUGACCACGUUCGUGCUUAGGAUGCUGGCAUAAUGGCUUUAAGCGACCCGUCUUGAAACACGGACCAAGGAGUCUAACAUGCCUGCGAGUGUUUGGGUGGAAAACUCGAGCGCGUAAUGAAAGUGAAAGUUGAGAUCCCUGUCGUGGGGAGCAUCGACGCCCGGACCAGAACUUUUGGGACGGAUCCGCGGUAGAGCAUGUAUGUUGGGACCCGAAAGAUGGUGAACUAUGCCUGAAUAGGGUGAAGCCAGAGGAAACUCUGGUGGAGGCUCGUAGCGGUUCUGACGUGCAAAUCGAUCGU